GGUUAUUACAAUAUAUUUUUACAACAGUAUAACACAUAAUAAAAUUUGCCGCUAGACUGUUAUAAUCAGGGGUGAGUCAGUCGCCUUAUAGAGACGUUUUCAGAAAACUGUAGUGCCAUCUGAUAGUUGACCCCAAAAUUAAAGCUUUGCCAGCUGUCACUCGCUUUGAAACCUGCCCACUUGUCAUAAAAUGGCGGCUACUUCUAGCGUUUGCAGUUUGCACAUGUAUGUAGCUCUCAUGUUCCAUUUUGCAUAUUUUUGGUAUUGAAAUCGAAGUGUAAGUGCGUCGAGUCGAGCCUUGUGCUCCUCCGCCUUGCUGUUGCGAAUUCACUCCAAAAAUCUCCUUAUUCUGUGUAUUUCUACUUUUUGUGAUAGAGACACUUUUGUUUGUGGAAUUUAUGAACUUUGGUGUAAUGCCGAGACGUUGUGCUUUCGGUUGUGCGCUCCGUGAGAUUCCAAUGCAUAGUUUCCCAGAUGCUGUCAAUUUCUUGAGCAGUUUAAAACUUGGGUCAGUCUUGUUGGUGGAAACCCUUAAACAUCUGAUCUUGAAUGUUAUAAGAAGAAGAGAAUUUGUGAUAAACACUUUUCUGACAGACACAGAAAUCAUAAUCAAUGGCUAAGCACAUUGGCAGUUCCGAUGCUUCAUCUGCUUGGACAACUACAGAGUCAAGUAAUCUUAGGACAAGCUUCAUCCACACAGCAUUUACUGCAAGACUGUUCAGAUGCACCUCAAGGUGCUUGAUGCUGGAACAUAAUUAUAGUUUUAUUAGCAAGCCUGAAAGAACAUCUGGAAAUGAUCUAAUGGCUCCACAGCGCACAAAGAUCAAGCAUCUUCAAGCAGAAAUAUCGCGCUUGCGAAAAAAAGGACAAUCUUUCAAAGCAAGGUUAAAAGGUGGUGCAGAUCGAUCAAUCGAAUUUUGUCAGGAAAAUUAACAUAUGUGGGUGAAGGCGAAACAAAAACAGCUGAAACAUAAACAUUAUAAAAAUAAAAAAUAAUAUGCAAA